AAGACCUUGCGCUUUUGGAGCGGCCGAUGCCUGAUUAGCUAGUUGGUGGGGUAAUGGCCUACCAAGGCUUCGAUCAGUAGCUGGUCUGAGAAGACGGCCAGCCACACUGGGACUGAGACACGGCCCAGACUCCUACGGGAGGCAGCAGUGGGGAAUUUUGGACAAUGGGCGCAAGCCUGAUCCAGCCAUGCCGCGUGAGUGAAGAAGGCCUUCGGGUUGUAAAGCUCUUUCAGCCGGGAAGAAAAGGUUGCGAUUAAUAAUCGCAAUUUAUGACGGUACCGGAAGAAGAAGCACCGGCUAACUACGUGCCAGCAGCCGCGGUAAUACGUAGGGUGCGAGCGUUAAUCGGAAUUACUGGGCGUAAAGGGUGCGCAGGCGGUUUUGUAAGUCAGAUGUGAAAUCCCCGGGCUUAACCUGGGAACU
rnacentral:rRNA from 1 species